NNNGACCUGAGAUCAGUCAAGACUACCCGCUGAAUUUAAGCAUAUUAAUAAGCGGAGGAAAAGAAACUAACAAGGAUUCCCCUAGUAACGGCGAGUGAAGCGGGAACAGCUCGAAUUUAAAAUCUGCGGUGCUUGCAUCGUCAGAAUUGUGGUUUAAAGAAGUGUUUUCCCCGGGAUGUCCGCUGGCCUAAGUNGCUUGGAACAGCACGUCAUAGAGGGNGAGAACCCCGUCUGUGGCUCGGUGGANNCUUGGUAUGAUGCACUUUCGAAGAGUCGGGUUGUUUGGGAAUGCAGCCCUAAUUGGGUGGUAAACUCCAUCUAAAGCUAAAUAUUGCCACGAGACCGAUAGCGAACAAGUACCGUGAGGGAAAGAN
rnacentral:rRNA from 1 species